rfam:Ictidomys tridecemlineatus contig001091, whole genome shotgun sequence.
GGGGAUAUAGCUCAGUGGGUAGAGUGCUUGCUUCAUAUGCACAAGGCCCUGGGUUCAAACCCAAGUACCACAA